GGUCAAAGUCGUCAAAUUGAAAUGGCGAACUUUGGAUGAUUAUUGGCAACAACAAUCGUGCAAUUCUCUGUGCCUCUCAGAUCUCUUUAUUUGAAGAUGGCCUCGAACAAAUUGCUACAUU